CAGAUCGAGACGAAGCCAACGUCUGGUUUCGGUUACGGAGCAACGAAGUAACAGGCCAUACACAGAAACCACGAUGCAUUUUCUGAUCAUCCUUACUGCAUCAACUCCUCUAAUGGCGCUGCUGCUCACUGAAGCUGUAACCAGCCGUGAAGCCAACUACAGUAAUCCAGCCUGCAAGAUGCCAAGCCGGCCAUUUUUCGAAGAUAUCGAAAGCGACAAUCUCACCAUACUAUAUAUAUAUAACGAAACCAGUGGAUUGUGCCAAGAUGUCCUCAUUGAUAAGCACCAUAACAAUACGUUCCAGUACUUCUUUGAUUGUGUGUCUCUGUGUGA